UCGUAACAAGGUUUCCGUAGGUGAACCUGCGGAAGGAUCAUUACAGUAUUCUUUUUGCCAGCGCUUAAUUGCGCGGCGAAAAAACCUUACACACAGUGUUUUUUGUUAUUACAAGAACUUUUGCUUUGGUCUGGACUAGAAAUAGUUUGGGCCAGAGGUUUACUGAACUAAACUUCAAUAUUUAUAUUGAAUUGUUAUUUAUUUAAUUGUCAAUUUGUUGAUUAAAUUCAAAAAAUCUUCAAAACUUUCAACAACGGAUCUCUUGGUUCUCGCAUCGAUGAAGAACGCAGCGAAAUGCGAUAAGUAAUAUGAAUUGCAGAUUUUCGUGAAUCAUCGAAUCUUUGAACGCACAUUGCGCCCUCUGGUAUUCCAGAGGGCAUGCCUGUUUGAGCGUCAUUUCUCUCUCAAACCUUCGGGUUUGGUAUUGAGUGAUACUCUUAGUCGAACUAGGCGUUUGCUUGAAAUGUAUUGGCAUGAGUGGUACUGGAUAGUGCUAUAUGACUUUCAAUGUAUUAGGUUUAUCCAACUCGUUGAAUAGUUUAAUGGUAUAUUUCUCGGUAUUCUAGGCUCGGCCUUACAAUAUAACAAACAAGUUUGACCUCAAAUCAGGUAGGAUUACCCGCUGAACUUAAGCAUAUCAAUAA
rnacentral:misc_RNA from 2 species